ACAAACAACAUGUGAUUUAGGGCUGCAGCUAACGAUUAUUUGAAUAAUCGAUUAGUUGCCGAUUAAUUUCUACGAUUAAUCGAUUAAUCGGGAAAAACGACAAAAUUACAAAACAAAGCGGUUUAUAUGAUUUUACUUGAAAAAUUAUGUUUAAAGGCCAUAUUAAAACAAAUUGUGGAU